CAAUUUGAUUUUCACUCGGUUGAUCAAAAACCAAAAAUCUUCAUCGAUGACCGAUAUUGAUAGUGGAAAAUUUUCAUUCUUUUCUUUUUCUUUGGUGCUCUCAUUUGACUUCCCUUCACACGAAUGAAAACGAAUUUAAAAAUUAUUAUAUAAACAAACGUUCGAAUUCGAAUGUUAAGAAGAAGAAGCAUUCGAAAUCCAAAUUCGGAAUUGUGAAUAUUCUCGAUUUUUACAUCAUCGAUUUUGUUUUUGUUUUUAUAAACAAAAACAAAAACAAACGACAUUCAUCCGGUGCAUAAUGAUGGUGUUUGAAUUGUGUUUUUUUUUUUCUCGAUGUGAUAUAAUAAUUUCAAAGUCUUCGAAUGUUGUUCUUGUUCUGUUGAUCAUUUGAUGAUUAUCAAAAAUCAGAUUUUUUGGACAUUUUUUUUUGAUUGCACAACAAAAACAACAACAACAACAACAUUAAUGAAUCAUGGAAAUGACGUAAAUACUCAUUAUUAUCAUCAUCAUCAUUAUCAUCAUCAAAAAUUGAUUGUAAAUGUUCUUUUUUUUUUGUUUCUGUCAUCAUCAUCAUCAUCGUUGAUC